UAUGAGGCACAAAGUAAAAGAUCCUGGAGAUUACCGCAACCAGAAUUAGUAUGGCCAAUAACGGGUCUCCUCCUCCAAUGGCGCGUGGGAUCAAUAGUCUUUCUCGGAUCUACCAAGUAUGGGAAAGCUUAAGGCCAAAUCCUACCAACAAGAGCGCAUGAAACAACAUAAGCUAAGGAUCUACAAAGUAUGGGGAAGCUUAAGGCCAAACCCUACUAAUAAGAGAGCAUGGAACAACAUAACUGAAGCCCUCAAUACCUUGUCUCAUGAGUGGGGCAUGCCCCCCAUCUUGAUAGUCUAGUAGGGGCGUGUCCUCUUUCUCUUACUAUUAACUAAGGGAGAUGAGAGAGAGAAAGAGAACUCAAGAUGAGAGAGGACAGAGAGAAACCCUAGGUGGGGUGUGCUCUUAUAUAGGGAGAGAGUAGAGAGAGAAGACAGAGGUGUGUAGAAAAUAUGGGGAGAAGGGCCCCUAUUUGUAGAUUUUUCAUGGGCUAGGGUUUCCUUAGAGUUAACCAUCUUUAUGCCGAUUUGAUCCAGACCAUUGAUCAUAGGAAACUUGUGGGGUGAGAGAUUUGAGUCAUCCAAU
rnacentral:lncRNA from 1 species